GACGAACCGUGCGAACGUUAUUCGGAAUCACUGGGCUUAAAGCGCGUGUAGGCGGGACGGCACGUCGGUCGCUGAAAUCCCCCGGCUCAACCGGGGAACGGGCGCCGAUACGACCGUCCUGGAGGGACGUAGGGGGACCUGGAACUUCCGGUGGAGCGGUGAAAUGCGUUGAGAUCGGAAGGAACGCCCGUGGCGAAAGCGAGGUCCUGGACGUUUUCUGACGCUGAGGCGCGAAAGCCAGGGGAGCGAACGGG
rnacentral:rRNA from 1 species